AGGUACAGAGUCAAGUGUGAGAGAGAAACAGCGUGGUGUCAGAUGGUGAAAAAUGGAACUAGAUGUAAUGAAAGUAACAAGGACAGAAUGUGAGCGGGAGAGAGAAAGAGAGACACAGAAUCCGAAGCAGGCUCCAGGCUUUGAGCUGUCAGCACAGAGCCCCAUGUGGGGCUCGAACUCAUGAGCUCUGAGAUCAUGAUCCGAGCUGAAGUCGGCCGUCCAACCGACUGAGCUGCCCAGGCAUCCCAGUCAGCAUACCCUCUUCCCUAUAUUCUUUCUCUGAAGUCAAGAACAAUUUAUGUACAAUAAAAUUCACCUCAUUUAGACAGAAUGUUUGGUGUAUGUUGACAUCCAUGAUCAUGUAACCACCGCUAGCAUCUGUAACAGGGUAUUUCCACUGUCCCAAGAAGUUCUUCUGUCUCCUUUGUAGUUGAUGCCCUGUUUCCACCCCAUCCCCUGACAACCAUUCAUCUGAUUGAUGUCUAUAGUUUAACCUUUUCCAGAUCAUCAUAUAAAUGGAAUCAUACUGUGUAGAA